UGCACUAUGAAUCCACUGCUCCUGAUGGUCAUUUUUUCCAUUUUGUUGUUGUUCUUGGAUAAGACAGAGACAGGAGGGGAAGACAGAUAUGGGGAAGAGAAAGACACCUGCAUACCUACUCCACUGCUUGUGAAGUGACCCCCCCACCCCUGCAGGUAGGGAACUAGAGGUUUGAACCAGGAUCUUUGCAUCAGUCCCUGUGCUUCAUACUAUGUGUGCUUAACCAAGUGUACCACCACCUGGCCACCUCCCUAGUCAUGAAUCCACAGGCAGGAGCACAGAGUCAGCAGCCCCUCCAUGGCCCUGCCUCACUGCCUUCUGAUCCAUUACCCUGGAGACCCCACAGCAACAAGCACCACAGAACACCCCCACCUUCCACCUGGAACCUCAACAGCAACUACCACCCUGGACUGGUCAAGUGUGUGGCUUGUGGGGCAAGGGAUUGCUAACUAGGGUAUGAUUCUUCUUGAACAUCUUAACAGUAAAUUAAAAUAAAUUAUUGGACAUUUUCCAAAAACAGACACACUUUAAAAGAAUAUUUUUUGUUUAAUACUUCUAAAAACCUUAAACAAUUUACACACCAAGUAUGAGCAAAGAGAGAAUUUCAGUACAGAAAUCAAUUUUUUAUUCUACCAAAGGAACUAAGACAAAGAUAGGUAAGUAAAAUCACUGUAAAUUUUUCUGACCAAAAUGGUGUGAAACUAGAAAUCAAUAAGAGGAUAGUAAGAAGACAGUAAGAAAAGCUACACCAUGUGGAAAUUAAACAGCAUGCUACUAACAACCAAUGGGUCAGUGAAGAACUCAAAAGAGAAAUAAAUUUCUAAGGCUCUCACAAUAUAAAAUAGAAAAGGAAAAUAAGAAAAAAGGCUACUAGAAGCAGAGGAGUCACUAUGCUGGAUCCCAGAGAUAACCAGGAAAGCAAAGAGGGAUAUACUAAACUAAGCACAAAAACAAGACAGACACUUAAAAAUACAUGAAUCAUGCAACACUUGGUCUUCUGGGAAAAAAACUAUUGAGAUGAGUGCAAACAGUGCUGACAGGAAGAAAACAAGCACAUGCACAUCAAUGGUAGGAGACACAGAUGAGCCCAGGAACUCGUGAAGCUUCAACACAGAGGUAAGGACAACAUGAUCUGCAAAAGGGGCAAGUGUUCCCAGCACAUUCCUUCCACAGACAGCGAGUAGAACCACCCUCAGACACACAACAGGGUCAGGAUGCGUAAGAUACUAGACUCACAGUAUUUUCAACAUACGGCAAGCCAUAGAACUUCUCCUGUGUUUCCCUGAGGAUGUCUGUGGUUGAAGUCUUCAAGGGGUGUUUCCCAUGGUAGAUCUGAUCCAGAGUAGCAUAAAAGACCUAGACAGAA